rnacentral:rRNA from 1 species
UGCCGCGUGUGUGAAGAAGGUCUUCGGAUUGUAAAGCACUUUAAGUUGGGAGGAAGGGCUUUAAAUUAAUACUUUGCUGUUUUGACGUUACCGACAGAAUAAGCACCGGCUAACUCUGUGCCAGCAGCCGCGGUAAUACAGAGGGUGCAAGCGUUAAUCGGAAUUACUGGGCGUAAAGCGCGCGUAGGUGGUUCGUUAACUUGAAUGUGAAAUCCCCGGGCUCAGCCUGGGAACUGCAUCCAAAACUGGCGAGCUAGAGUAUGGUAGAGGGUGGUGGAAUUUCCUGUGUAAUGUUGAAAUGCGUACAUAUAGGAAGGAACACCAGUGGCGAAGGCGACCACCUGGACUGAUACUGACACUGAGGUGCAAAAGCGUGAGAAGCAAACAGGAUUAAAUACCCUGGUAUUCCACGCCGUAAACGAUGUCCUUUCCCGUUGGGAGCCUUGAACUCUUAGUGGCGCACCUCACGCAUUAAGUUGACCGCCUGGGGAGUACGGCCGCAAGGUUAAAACUCAGAUGAAUUGACGGGGGCCCGCACAAGCGGUGGAUCAUGUGGUUUAAUUCAAACCAACGCGGACAACCUUACCACGACUUGACAUCCAAUGAACUUUCCUCAGAUGGA